UACCUCGCCGGUCGACUGGAAGGAAAUCCUUCCGGUCGACGAGGUACAUGUACCUCGUCGACUGGAAGGAAACCCUUCCAGCCGGCGGGUACAUGUACCUCGCCGGUUGACUGGAAGGGAAUCCUUCCGGUCGACGAGGUACAUGUACCUCGUCGACUGGAAGGAUUUCCUUCUAGCUGUCGAGGUA
rnacentral:miRNA from 1 species